rnacentral:rRNA from 1 species
UACGUAGGGGGCAAGCGUUGUCCGGAUUUAUUGGGCGUAAAGAGCGUGUAGGCGGCUUUACAGGUCCGUUGUGAAAACUCGAGGCUCAACCUCGAGACGCCGGUGGAAACCGUAAGGCUAGAGUCCGGAAGAGGAGAGUGGAAAUUCCUGGUGUAGCGGUGAAAUGACGCAGAUAUCAGGAGGAACACCAGUGGCGAAGGCGCUCACUGCCCGACUACUGACGCUGAGGCACGAAGGCCAGGGGAGCAAACGGG